rnacentral:misc_RNA from 1 species
AACGCAUAUUGCGCCCUUUGGCAUUCCGAAGGGCAUGCCUGUUCGAGCGUCAUUAUCAACCCUCAAGCUUAGCUUGUUAUUGGAUGAAAUUUUCUACAAACGAUAAUUCAUCCCAAAGACAAUGGCGGUGUCUUUUGACCCUUGAUGCAACGAGCUUUUCAAAAGCACGCAUUUAAAGUGGUUAAUUGAUUCUUGACCUUUUUCAAAUAUUUUUUAAGGUUGACCUCGGAUCAGGUAGGAAUACCCGCUGAACUUAA